rnacentral:rRNA from 1 species
GUGCCAGCAGCCGCGGUAAUACGAAGGGGGCUAGCGUUGUUCGGAAUUACUGGGCGUAAAGCGCACGUAGGCGGACUGAUAAGUCAGGGGUGAAAUCCCGGGGCUCAACCCCGGAACUGCCUUUGAUACUGUCAGUCUAGAGUUCGAGAGAGGUGAGUGGAAUUCCGAGUGUAGAGGUGAAAUUCGUAGAUAUUCGGAGGAACACCAGUGGCGAAGGCGGCUCACUGGCUCGAUACUGACGCUGAGGUGCGAAAGCGUGGGGAGCAAACAGGAUUAGAAACCCCCGUAGUCC